GACGAACGCUGGCGGCGUGCUUAACACAUGCAAGUCGAACGGAAAGGCCCUGCUUUUGUGGGGUGCUCGAGUGGCGAACGGGUGAGUAACACGUGAGUAACCUGCCCUUGACUUUGGGAUAACUUCAGGAAACUGGGGCUAAUACCGGAUAGGAGCUCCUGCUGCAUGGUGGGGGUGGGAAAGUUUCGUCGGUUGGGGAUGGACGCGCGGCUUAUCAGCUUGUUGGUGGGUUAGUGGCUUACCGAGGCUUUGACGGGUAGCCGGCCUGAGAGUGUGAGCGGCCACAUUGGGACUGAGAUCCGGCCCAGACUCCUACGGGAGGCAGAAGGGGGGAAUUUUGCACGAUGGGCGGAAGCAUGAUGCAGCGACGCCGCGUGCGGGAUGACGGCCUUCGGGUUGUAAACCGCGUUCGCGUGUGACGAAGCGUGAGUGACGGUAAUGGGUAAAGAAGCACCGGCUAAGUACGUG
rnacentral:rRNA from 1 species